rnacentral:tRNA from 1 species
GCCCUUGUAGCUCAGUUGGCAGAGCGCAUCCUUGGUAAGGAUGAGGUCGGCGGUUCAAGUCCGCUCGGGGGCUCCA